GAUGAACGCUAGCGGCAGGCCUAACACAUGCAAGUCGAGGGGUAACAGAGGUAGCUUGCUACUUGCUGACGACCGGCGCACGGGUGCGUAACGCGUAUACAAUCUACCUUUUACUGGGGGAUAGCCUUUAGAAAUGAAGAUUAAUACCCCAUAGUAUUACCGGUUCGCAUGGACUGGUAAUUAAAGAUUACGGUAAAAGAUGAGUAUGCGUCCUAUUAGCUAGAUGGAGUGGUAACGGCACACCAUGGCAACGAUAGGUAGGGGCCCUGAGAGGGGGAUCCCCCACACUGGUACUGAGACACGGACCAGACUCCUACGGGAGGCAGCAGUGAGGAAUAUUGGACAAUGGAGGCAACUCUGAUCCAGCCAUGCCGCGUGCAGGAAGACUGCCCUAUGGGUUGUAAACUGCUUUUAUACAGGAAGAAACCGCUCUACGUGUAGAGCUCUGACGGUACUGUAAGAAUAAGGAUCGGCUAACUCCG
rnacentral:rRNA from 1 species